GUGCCUCAGGACCGAGGGAGGGUUUUCUUUGUCUGCAAAAGGCUGGGGCUUGUUUAAAAGCCUCGGGGAGAGGCUGGAAGGAUGGGGGUGAGGUGGGAGGAGCAGGUAGAUGAAUUGAUGUGGGAGAGGUCUGGAGCCCUGGAGGAGAGGUCAGCGGGGAAGGAAGGCAGGUGGAGACUUUCGAGUGGAGAGCAGGGAGGUUCCUGGGAAACUUCUUCCCCAAGAAGAAGCUGAAGUCAUCUGCUGAGUCAUGGGAGGAGGAGGGGAAGAGGCUGGUGAACAGGCUGAAGGCACAGGGCCCUGCCACCCUUGCAUCUUGCUCCCGUAACUCUGAUCUCUGGGCCAACACUUCUACCUUGGGAGGAAGACGGGAUGAUUUGGGCCUCCUGAACUUCACAACCAGAGAAGAGGAAGCCAAGGGCUUGAGCAAAAGGGAGUGUGGCCACGGUAUUCCCCUGCCGUGUACUUGCUUUGUCCACUGGGUCAUGCAGGUGGCUGAGAACAGGCAGCAGGCAGAGUAGGGGCCGCCGUAAUUCCCCAGGCACUGAAGGUCCUGGGGAUACUCCUGGGGCAGGGAAAGAUCAAGGAGGAGGCCGCGAGGCAGG